CGGUGCUUCUGACGGGCAGCAUCGCGCUCAAUGACGGCCGAUUCUCCACGUCGACGGGAAUCGUUCGCUCGUCGGGCGACACGGCCAAGGGCACCAAGACGGACGCCCUGGCUCUGACCAACUCGGUCGGCCCGGACGGCGCCGCACACGGCGUCCAGCACACGGCCGCCAGUACCGGCUCCUCUCAACAGUCGUCCUCUGCCGCUGACGUCACCGUCGGCUCCAGGGUCGGAGACGUGGGCAGCUCUGUCAACGUCGGUGGCGGUACGCAGACUACCAAAUCGUGAUCCCAACCCAUGGAGGGUCGCCGCGGACCGUCCGGUGACCCCUGGAGGACCGCCACGGACCGUCCGGGCGGAUCGGUGACCCCUGCACUCUUGAAGGCCGAGUUUUUCGGAAGUCUUUGUCAAAUUAUGGUCACAGCGCACUCCACACGGACACCCGAUUUGGACGAGAAAUACACCACAAUAACAACAGCCACUUACUUUGUUCAACUCAUAACUUCAGUGACACCCUCUGUGAAAAAUAGAUUUUUGUUUGCUAGAAAUAAACGAAAUUCAGGAUCCCGGGAUGACCUUCGCCGUCGGUGAUUCGUGAAAGAAUAUCAGCUUUGUAGGAAUAAAUCUGGUUAGGAAGUUUUCUGGGAGUUAACCUGAAAAUGGCUGUCAAAUAACAUUGAAGCCGAGCCUUAGAAGCAUGCUACAUAUAUUUGUUAACGGAUGUGAAUCACUACAGAGCUACUGCUGUCAAUGUCAAUGUUAUCCCGGUUAGAGUAAUGUUUGCAAUACAAGAGUUACCCGGUGA